UGGAACCGCGUGCUCGGCUUCCCGGCGGCGCUGGCCGGGGCUGCUUCCGCGGCGACGGGGCUCUUCGUCCUGGUCAGCGGCGGCACGAGUGGGUCCCACCGCAGUCCGCGAGCGCCAGAGCCGCCGCAGCUCGUCAGCCUCCUCUGCGAGGGCCCCCGUCCCAGUUCUGCUCCUGCCCCCUCUUCGUUUCCCGCUGCACCCGCAGAAGCGCAUCCGCUGGCAGGUCCAGAGGUUGCACAGAGCAUGGAGGAUCGCCAUCAAGAAGUGAUCAGCUUCCACAGAGAGAACGGUUUCCGUGGCUUGGUGGCAUAUGACUCCAAUUAGGCACUGUGCAACAUUCCUGCUAUUUCAGUGCCCAUGCCCCCGAAAACUGAACCGGAACGGGAAAAGUCCCUCAACAAGCCAGUAUCUGAUGCAUGCAAUUGCCAGGCAACCGGACCUGAAUCCAAAUGUUUUUCUAUUUUUGCUGCUCUGUUAGGGGCCUGGCUGUUGAGGUCCCUCUCUGCAGUCCUGGAGGUCCCAGAGGCUGGGCUGGAGCAUAGGCCUGCUCAGCCCAGGUCUUGCUGGACAGAGAGCCUGGAAGCAGCGGGAGGCUGAGCAGCUGGGCCAGGGGA